AAAGAAAGUAAGCAAGGGCGCAUGGCGGAUGCUUGGCUCUCGGAGGCGAUGAAGGACGUGAUAAGCUGCGAUAAGCUUCGGGAAGGUGCAAAUAACCUUUGAUCCGAAGAUUUCCGAAUGGGACAACCCGUCAUUCUGAAGGAAUGACAUCUUGCAUAGCAAGAGGCUAACGCAGGGAACUGAAACAUCUUAGUACCUGUAGGAAAAGAAAAUAAUAAUGAUUCCCCUAGUAGUGGCGAGCGAACGGGGAUUAGCCCAAACCAAUGUUGUUACGGCAAUAUUGGGGUUGUAGGACCACGAUGUCGCAAGAAAUUUAGUGAGAAGAACCCUUUGGAAAAUGGGACCAUAGACGGUGAUAGUCCGGUAUUCGAAGCUAAAUGAAGCGUAGUGGUAUCCUGAGUAGCGCGGGACACGAGGAAUCUUGCGUGAAUCUGCCGGGACCAUCCGGUAAGGCUAAAUACUCCCGAGAGACCGAUAGCGAACCAGUACUGUGAAGGAAAGGUGAAAAGCACUUCGAAUAGAAGAGUGAAAUAGUCCCUGAAACCGUGCGCCUACAAGCGGUCGGAGCUGUGUAAACAGUGACGGCGUGCCUUUUGCAUAAUGAACCUACGAGUUACUUUUUCCGGCAAGGUUAAGGAUCUUGAGAUCCGCAGCCGAAGCGAAAGCGAGUCUUAACAGGGCGAUUAGUCGGAAGGAGUAGACGCGAAACCAAGUGAUCUACCCUUGGUCAGGUUGAAGGUUAGGUAACACUAACUGGAGGACCGAACCGAUAAGCGUUGAAAAGCUUCCGGAUGAACUGAGGGUGGGGGUGAAAGGCUAAUCAAACUUGGAGAUAGCUCGUACUCCCCGAAAUGCAUUUAGGUGCAGCCUUGGGAAUUACUACUGUGAGGUAGAGCGACUGAUAAGAUGCGAGGGCUUCACCGCCUAUCAAGUCUUGAUAAACUCCGAAUGCGCAGUAGUUCGAUCCCAGGAGUGAGGGCAUGGGUGCUAAGGUCCAUGUCCUAAAGGAGAAGAAUCCAGACCAUCAGCUAAGGUCCCGAAAUAAUUGCUAAGUUGAACUAACGAAGUCAGAUUGCUAAGACAGCUAGGAUGUUGGCUUGGAAGCAGCCAUUCAUUUAAAGAGUGCGUAACAGCUCACUAGUCGAGGAGUUUGGCGUGGAUAAUAAUCGGGCAUUAAGCAAUUUACCGAAGCUAUGGGAUCAGUAAUGAUCGGUAGGGGAGCAUUCCACUCUGCGUCGAAGGUGAAGCGUGAGCUUUGCUGGAGCGUGUGGAAAAGCAAAUGUAGGUAUAAGUAACGAUAAAGGGGGUGAGAAACCCCCUCGCCGAAAGACUAAGGUUUCCUGAUCAACGCUAAUCGGAUCAGGGUUAGUCGGGUCCUAAGGCUCAGCCGAACGGUGAGGCCGAUGGCAGAACAGGUUAAUAUUCCUGUACUACCUUAAGGAGUGACGUGGAGACGGAGGAGUGACAGCGCCGCGGACUGACGGAAUAGUCCGUUGAAGGGUGUAGAUGUUGAUUAUCCCAGGCAAAUCCAGGAUAAGAGUCGAACCUGAUAGUAUACCAAAUUCUUCGGAAUAAGGUAAUAGUGCGUGUAAGCAUACUCCCAAGAAAAUCCGCUAAACUUAAUCUUUAAGGUACCCGUACCGCAAACGGACACACGUAGUCGGGUUGAAUAUACUAAGGCGCUUGAGUGAUUCACGGUUAAGGAACUAGGCAAAUUGACCCUGUAACUUCGGGAUAAAGGGUCCCAACGAGAGUUGGGCGCAGAGAAUAGGUCCAGGCAACUGUUUAACAAAAACACAGG
rnacentral:rRNA from 1 species